GAUGAACGCUGGCGGCGUGCCUAACACAUGCAAGUCGAGCGAACAGAUGAGGAGCUUGCUCCUCUGACGUUAGCGGCGGACGGGUGAGUAACACGUGGAUAACCUACCUAUAAGACUGGGAUAACUUCGGGAAACCGGAGCUAAUACCGGAUAAUAUAUUGAACCGCAUGGUUCAAUAGUGAAAAACGGUUCUGCUGUCACUUAUAGAGGGAUCCGCGCCGCAUUAGCUAGUUGGUAAGGUAACGGCUUACCAAGGCAACGAUGCGUAGCCGACCUGAGAGGAUGAUCAGCCACACUGGAACUGAGACACGGUCCAGACUCCUACGGGAGGCAGCAGUAGGGAAUCUUCCACAAAGGGCGAAAGCCUGACGGAGCAACGCCGCGUGAGUGAUGAAGGUCUUCGGAUCGUAAAACUCUGUUAUUUGGGAAGAACAAAUGUGUAAGUAACUAUGCACGUCUUGACGGUACCUAAUCAGAAAGCCACGGCUAACUACGUG
rnacentral:rRNA from 1 species